GACGAACGCUGGCGGCGUGCUUAACACAUGCAAGUCGAACGGAAAGGCCCUGCUUUUGUGGGGUGCUCGAGUGGCGAACGGGUGAGUAACACGUGAGUAACCUGCCCUUGACUUUGGGAUAACUUCAGGAAACUGGGGCUAAUACCGGAUAGGAGCUCCUGCUGCAUGGUGGGGGUUGGAAAGUUUCGGCGGUUGGGGAUGGACUCGCGGCUUAUCAGCUUGUUGGUGGGGUAGUGGCUUACCAAGGCUUUGACGGGUAGCCGGCCUGAGAGGGUGACCGGCCACAUUGGGACUGAGAUACGGCCCAGACUCCUACGGGAGGCAGCAGUGGGGAAUAUUGCACAAUGGGCGGAAGCCUGAUGCAGCAACGCCGCGUGCGGGAUGACGGCCUUCGGGUUGUAAACCGCUUUCGCCUGUGACGAAGCGUGAGUGACGGUAAUGGGUAAAGAAGCACCGGCUAACUACGUGCCAGCAGCCGCGGUGAUACGUAGGGUGCGAGCGUUGUCCGGAUUUAUUGGGCGUAAAGGGCUCGUAGGUGGUUGAUCGCGUCGGAAGUGUAAUCUUGGGGCUUAACCCUGAGCGUGCUUUCGAUACGGGUUGACUUGAGGAAGGUAGGGGAGAAUGGAAUUCCUGGUGGAGCGGUGGAAUGCGCAGAUAUCAGGAGGAGCACCAGUGGCGAAGGCGGUUCUCUGGGCCUUUCCUGACGCUGAGGAGCGAAAGCGUGGGGAGCGAACAGGCUUAGAUACCCUGGUAGUCCACGCUGUAAACGGUGGGUACUAGGUGUGGGGUCCAUUCCACGGGUUCCGUGCCGUAGCUAACGCUUUAAGUACCCCGCCUGGGGAGUACGGCCGCAAGGCUAAAACUCAAAGGAAUUGACGGGGCCCCGCACAAGCGGCGGAGCAUGCGGAUUAAUUCGAUGCAACGCGUAGAACCUUACCUGGGUUUGACAUGGAUCGGGAGCGCUCAGAGAUGGGUGUGCCUCUUUUGGGGUCGGUUCACAGGUGGUGCAUGGCUGUCGUCAGCUCGUGUCGUGAGAUGUUGGGUUAAGUCCCGCAACGAGCGCAACCCUUGUUCACUGUUGCCAGCACGUUAUGGUGGGGACUCAGUGGAGACCGCCGGGGUCAACUCGGAGGAAGGUGGGGAUGACGUCAAGUCAUCAUGCCCCUUAUGUCCAGGGCUUCACGCAUGCUACAAUGGCUGGUACAGAGAGUGGCGAGCCUGUGAGGGUGAGCGAAUCUCGGAAAGCCGGUCUCAGUUCGGAUUGGGGUCUGCAACUCGACCUCAUGAAGUCGGAGUCGCUAGUAAUCGCAGAUCAGCAACGCUGCGGUGAAUACGUUCCCGGG
rnacentral:rRNA from 1 species